rnacentral:rRNA from 1 species
CGUACCCUUCACUACGGAAUAGUCCCGGGAAACUGGGUUUAAUACCGUAUACGCCCUUCGGGGGAAAGAAUUUCGGUGAGGGAUCGGCCCGCGUUAGAUUAGUUAGUUGGUGGGGUAAUGGCCUACCAAGACUACGAUCUAUAGCUGGUUUGAGAGGAUGAUCAGCAACACUGGGACUGAGACACGGCCCAGACUCCUACGGGAGGCAGCAGUGGGGAAUCUUAGACAAUGGGGGCAACCCUGAUCUAGCGAUGCCGCGUGAGUGAUGAAGGCCUUAGGGUCGUAAAGCUCUUUCGCCUGUGAUGAUAAUGACAGUAGCAGGUAAAGAAACCCCGGCUAACUCCGUGCCAGCAGCCGCGGUAAUACGGAGGGGGUUAGCGUUGUUCGGAAUUACUGGGCGUAAAGCGCACGUAGGCGGAUUAGUCAGUCAGAGGUGAAAUCCCAGGGCUCAACCCUGGAACUGCCUUUGAUACUGCUAGUCUUGAGUUCGAGAGAGGUAAGUGGAAUUCCGAGUGUAGAGGUGAAAUUCGUAGAUAUUCGGAGGAACACCAGUGGCGAAGGCGGCUUACUGGCUCGAUACUGACGCUGAGGUGCGAAAGUGUGGGGAGCA